rnacentral:rRNA from 1 species
GAUGAACGCUGGCGGCGUGCCUAAUACAUGCAAGUCGAGCGAACAGACGAGGAGCUUGCUCCUCUGACGUUAGCGGCGGACGGGUGAGUAACACGUGGAUAACCUACCUAUAAGACUGGGAUAACUUCGGGAAACCGGAGCUAGUACCGGAUAAUAUAUUGAACCGCAUGGUUCAAUAGUGAAAGACGGUUUUGCUGUCACUUAUAGAUGGAUCCGCGCCGCAUUAGCUAGUUGGUGAGGUAACGGCUUACCAAGGCAACGAUGCGUAGCCGACCUGAGAGGGUGAUCGGCCACACUGGAACUGAGACACGGUCCAGACUCCUACGGGAGGCAGCAGUAGGGAAUCUUCCGCAAAGGGCGAAAGCCUGACGGAGCAACGCCGCGUGAGUGAUGAAGGUCUUCGGAUCGUAAAACUCUGUUAUUAGGGAAGAACAAAUGUGUAAGUAACUAUGCACGUCUUGACGGUACCUAAUCAGAAAGCCACGGCUAACUACGUG